rnacentral:rRNA from 1 species
CAAUAGCAUAUAUUAACGUUGUUGCAGUUGAAAAGCUCGUAGUUGAACUUUUGGUAGGAGCGACCUGGCCUUGGGCGCAUGCCCUUGUUUGCCGUGUGUCGUAUCUGGCCAUCCUUUUCCGUUUCGGCGGGAAUCUUUUACUGUGAGUAAACUGGAGUGCUCAAAACAAGACGUUUGUUUGGUACAUUAAAGCAUGGAAUAAUAAGAUAGGACCUGGUUACUAUUUUGUUGGUUUGCAUAGCUAGGUAAUGAUUAACAGGGACAGUCGGGGGUAUUCGUAUUUAAUUGUCAGAGGUGAAAUUCUUGGAUUUAUGAAAGACGAACGACUGCGAAAGCAUUUACCAAGGAUGUUUUCAUUAA